UGCACACGCGCAAACCCAGUCAUUCGGUCACGACGCGCGAUCACGGCAUGUCGUCGGUGCGCCGCGUACACGGGACAGCAGUCGUUGAGUUCGUAGUUUUUCGGUUAUCGCGUUUGUAUAAUGUACUUGGUAAUAACAAACGAUUGUAUAAGUUAAUGUAGUGCGCGUUUCGUAGUGAAACUAAAAAUUUAAAUAUUCAAUUCGAAUACCAUUAUUCAUUACAUUUCAGUGGGUUUCGUUCGACAGACGCUCGUCGGCUGCAGUUUCGCGGCCGAGAAGAUGUAUUUCAUUCUAACCGCCAAAAGCCUACUGUGGGCUACGUUGAGUGUGGUGUCCACCAUUACUCUAUUCACGGCCAUCUACUCUCCAAAAUGGCUCGUCGGACCUACUGAUUACAACUGUCUAUCGAACAAAUCGCUGUCCAUUGAAUCAAAUAACAGCUCGGACUCGCCAUACUACGAAGUGCGUUGCCGUCCAUCCGUCGGCAUCUACUACCGGUGUACGAAAAUCAACGGCAACCAGCACUGCGGUUCGUUCGCCGUCGAAGGACUGGCCACGGAUACGUCGAUGUUCCCUUUCGUGUGGAAGGUCGGUCUGGUGUUGAUGUCCGCUGGCGUUUUCGUCAGCUUUUUAAUGUCUGCCAUGGCCGUGGGCAGCUUUUGCAAACAAUCGAUAAGCAAGAAAAGCGUGUUCGGGAUAGCUGGUUCCGGACAAGGACUCUCCGUUUUACUCUAUCUGAUAGGAGUAAUUUGUUUCGCCGCUGGUUGGGGAUCGGAACGCGUGGUGCUGCUGUGCGGAACUCAAUCUGUGCCUUUUGUCUCUGCUGACUGCACGAAUGAAUACUGUACUUGAACGUCUUGAAUAUUGAAUCUACCCAGAUGUCGGAGGUAAUAUUUUAAGCUAAAUCAUCUAUGAUGAAGAUACGAGAUACAUAUACAGUCAUACAGAGUACUGCAGAUUGAAUCAGGAUCAGGUUUGUACACUGCAGCUUUUGGUAUUGUUCUCACUUUCGCCACGGCCAUGUUGUCGGGGCCAGCGGACCGAGCAACGUCCAGCGACAAAGUAGCACUUCAACUC